rnacentral:rRNA from 1 species
UGAGUAACCUGCCCUUAACUCUGGGAUAAGCCUGGGAAACUGGGUCUAAUACCGGAUAUGACUCCUCAUCGCAUGGUGGGGGGUGGAAAGCUUUAUUGUGGUUUUGGAUGGACUCGCGGCCUAUCAGCUAGUUGGUGAGGUCAUGGCUCACCAAGGCGACGACGGGUAGCCGGCCUGAGAGGGUGACCGGCCACACUGGGACUGAGACACGGCCCAGACUCCGUACGGGGAGCAG